rnacentral:rRNA from 1 species
GAUGAACGCUGGCGGCGUGCCUAAUACAUGCAAGUCGAGCGAACGGACGAGAAGCUUGCUUCUCUGAUGUUAGCGGCGGACGGGUGAGUAACACGUGGAUAACCUACCUAUAAGACUGGGAUAACUUCGGGAAACCGGAGCUAAUACCGGAUGAUAUUUUGAACCGCAUGGUUCAAAAGUGAAAGACGGUCUUGCUGUCACUUAUAGAUGGAUCCGCGCUGCAUUAGCUAGUUGGUAAGGUAACGGCUUACCAAGGCAACGAUGCAUAGCCGACCUGAGAGGGGGAUCGGCCACACUGGAACUGAGACACGGUCCAGACUCCUACGGGAGGCAGCAGUAGGGAAUCUUCCGCAAUGGGCGAAAGCCUGACGGAGCAACGCCGCGUGAGUGAUGAAGGUCUUCGGAUCGUAAAACUCUGUUAGUAGGGAAGAACAUAUGUGUAAGUAACUGUGCACAUCUUGACGGUACCUAAUCAGAAAGCCACGGCUAACUACGUG